GCUUGUCUUAGCAUUGCAUUCCGACAUCCUUUUACCGACCAACCUGUUGUUAUCAUGUUCAAAUGGCUCUACGUCCAAUUAUGGUUGUAGUGUUUGGCUGGAGUGUCCAUUUCUUCAUUUUGACCUACCCCAUCUGACUCUCCAAGAAACUCAUCUUCCAAGCUUAAGACUCCAGGGAGCUCAUCUUUUGAGUUUAAAGCUUUGCCAAAGGAGGGGGGGGUUAGAAUGUCCAAGACAACAAUCUUUAAUUUUGCUGACUUGCUGCAAUUCAAAUUCCAUGCCCGAGGUCGUCUUUCCCAUAUCAAACCUGAUUGGCAGUCUUGCUCGUGUCUAAGAUAUUAUUUUCUCUUAUUGCCCGUUUAAUUUGGAAUUU
rnacentral:lncRNA from 1 species